GUUCAAGCGUUUUUCUAAAACUAGCUACCUAGAGAAGAUUUGGUGGAGUUUUACUUCUAAAGGAUUAUUGGAUCUUGAUGCAGGGAUAGAAAGUGAGGACGAUGGUCCUUUUACUGGUUUUGAUGGUUGAUAGACCAUCUGCUGCAGGAUUUAUGCUUACUCUAUGGAGCAAGUCUCAUUUAUGUUAAUCGCUUUUAUUAUGUAUGGUGAUGUGUGUAAACUUAAUAGAUAUUACUAUGUUAAUUUAGGUGCCGUCUGUGGCAUAUAUUUGGUACACCUAGUGUAUACAUAUGUUGUAAUGAAAACCAUGUUUCUAUUUUAUUUAAUAAUAUAUCACCUCGAGGUAUUUCAGUCA